CAGCAGCCGCCGCGGUAAUACGUAGGUGGCAAGCGUUGUCCGGAAUUAUUGGGCGUAAAGCGCGCGCAGGUGGUUUAAUAAGUCUGAUGUGAAAGCCCACGGCUCAACCGUGGAGGGUCAUUGGAAACUGUUAAACUUGAGUGCAGGAGAGAAAAGUGGAAUUCCUAGUGUAGCGGUGAAAUGCGUAGAGAUUAGGAGGAACACCAGUGGCGAAGGCGGCUUUUUGGCCUGUAACUGACACUGAGGCGCGAAAGCGUGGGGAGCAAACAGGAUUAGAUACCCCCGUAGUCCCUGUCUCUUAUAC
rnacentral:rRNA from 1 species